GGUCAGAUAGCACAGUGGUUAGUGCGCGGACGCUUGAUGGUUCAAGGGCAAUAUUCCAUCCACUACCCUCGUUCGACUCGGGGUCUGGCCU